rnacentral:lncRNA from 1 species
UAGUGUGAAGCUUUUGAGAAUUUGUAGUUGUCCUCCAUUGAUGAAGCUUUUGUUGGUGAAGCUUUUGUGGGUGAAGCUUUUAUGUUGAAGCUUUUGUAGGUGAAGCUUUGGAGUUGAAGCUUUGGAGUUGAAGCUUUUGUUGGGUACCGUGAAUUGAUUUUGCUUCACACUAUCUUGAUCAAGAUAGUGUGAAGCUUUGGAGAAUUUGUAGUUGUCAUCCAUUGAUGAAGCUUUUGUUGGUGAAGCUUUUGUGGGUGAAGCUUUUGUGUACAAGUUUUUGUACGUGAAACUUUGGAGUUGAAGCUUUGGAGUUGAAGCUUUUGUUGGGUACCAUGAAUUGAUUUUGCUUCACACUAUCUUGAUCAUGAUAGUGUGAAGCUUUUGAGAAUUUGUAGUUGUCAUCCAUUGAUGAAGCUUUUGUUGGCACCAUAAAUUGGUUUUGCUUCACACUGUCUUGAUCAAGCGUGUGUGAAGCUUUUGAGAAUUGUGGUUGAACUCCUUUGAUGAAGCUUUUGUUGGCACCAUAAAUUGGUUUUGCUUCACACUGUCUUGAUCAAGAGUGUGUGAAGCUUUUGAGAAUUGUGGUUGCCCUCCAUUGAUGAAGCUAUUGCUGACACCAUAAAUUGAUUUUGCUUCACACUAUCUUGAUCAAGAGUGUGUGAAGCUUUUGAGAAUUGUGGUUGAACUCCUUUGAUGAAGCUCUUGUUGGCACCAUAAAUUGAUUUUGUUUCACACUGUCUUGAUCAAGAGUAUGUGAAGCUUUUGAGAAUUGUGGUUGAACUCCAUUGAUGAAGCUCUUGUUGGCACCAUAAAUUGGUUUUGCUUCACACUGUCUUGAUCAAAAGUGUGUGAAGCUUUUGAGAAUUGUGGUUGAACUCCUUUGAUGAAGCUCUUGUUGGCACCAUAAAUUGGUUUUGCUUCACACUGUCUUGAUUAAGAGUGUGUGAAGCUUUCUACGAGUUGUAGUGUUUGCAUUGUUAUAGAGGGGAAAUGUUUGAAGCAGAUGCAAGAAGGCUGAAUAGCUUGAUCUUCGUAUGCCAUGCAUGAAGUUGUUGUUGGCUUGCAAUAAGACUUUAUUGGUGACUAUAACUCUUGUUGGGGCGUAAGUGCUCCCCUAGUUGAGUUGUCAAGCUUGAGGGUUUUUUAUUAUUUGUGAAUGCUAAGAGUUCAUAUGUACAAGUUGUACCACUCGUCUUUUGGUAGGUGGAAUGAAUGGUGAGUUGCUUUCAUCACUUGGUUGGUGGUACGAAGGUGAGUUCCUUCAUCACCUUUCAUCACAUUCCAUCACCUGGUUGGUGGCACGAGGAUGAGUUUCUUCUUCCCCUAGUUAGUGGCAUGAAUGGCAAGUUGCCAAAUGAUAUUAGAGUACGGGUUGUACAUUUCAUCACCUAGUUGUGUUGGAAAUGUGCCCUAAAACCAAUCAUAUGAUGAUACUUUACGAACAUUUCACAUGUUAAACUAAUAUAGUUUAAUAUCAAGGGCAUAGAUUAUUGUUUUAAGCCGUCUCAUAUAAAUGUUAUAUGCUUAAACGAUGAGUCCAAGAAAUAUGUAAUUAGGAGAAUGUAAUUUAAAGAAGUUAGAUUCAUGAGACCAUUCUCUUUCGUAUACAUAUCCUAAACGUUCCUGAUCAUAGGAUUACCAAUUAGGCAUUGACAGUCCGUUAAGAUCAGUAUGUGCUAUGUCUUCUCUUAGUGAGAGUGACUGGUCUCGAGUCAUUGGUGUGACUGACACCAAGACAAGUAUGUAGGUGCUCAAUAAGGAAUGAGUUCACUGAACACGAUCAAUGAAGAGUUCUCAUACUCAUGUCAGAUGAGAACUCAUGGUUGGGAUAAUGCAAAGUAGUCAUUUGACCUGAGGCAUCAUAGUUGUCUUGUGGUUAGGUCCUUGAUCUUUGAUUAUGUCAAAGUCACUCAAUUCUCUGGUGUCUACGACAUAGUUGGUGUUAAGCCACUUAGCCAUGGAGGCAUGUGAAUGCGCAACAAGGGAUUUCUAACCUUCAAACCAUUUGAGGGAGAAUACUCUAUGAUAUGAUUAAGAAUCUCUAGCCAGAGUAUGAAUGAGAUUUAGGAAGUCAUUCCAAAACACAUUCAAAGUAAUCAUAUAAGUAAAUGAAUCACAUUGGAUAGUAGACAUGAAUAAACUAUCAAAUCAAACAAUGUGAUCAAGAGUAUUGUAUUAGAUAAAGACCGUAUUGCAUUGUAAUCCUAAACUGAAUAGGUUCUCCACCUCUUCUGAUUAGCUUGGGUAGCCAUGACAUACUGCUAGGUGUCACUCAUGGUUUGUGGUAGCCCUAAAGGCGAGUAAUCACUAAAGGGAGAAUUGAAAGUAAGUUUCAAUUCACAAUCGAUCGUUAAGAGUAACAAUCGCCCACUGCCUCGCUAAAAGGAACCUAAUGGAUUAUACACCAUGUAAGGUAGAGAUUGAAGAAACAACGGAGAUGAGUAAGGAUAAUUAAAUGGUUUAAUUAUUUAUUUAUGGCUAGAAUUAAUUAAUAUGUUAAUUAAUCAAACGAAUAAGUUCGUUAUAGACCUAGGGUUAGUUUUGGGCCGUAAGGCCCAAUGGGAUUUGAAUGUCAAGCCCAUUAACUCAAGUUGUAUGACAACUUGAAUAAACAAAGAGCUUGAAAGCCCAAUAAACCCUUAAGGCCGGCCAUUUAGAGGAGGAUAGUGAACUUGCUUUAAUUACAAGUUUGCCACUCCAAUGAAGGAAGGUAUAAAUAUGACUUUAUAGCCAAAAUUCAUUUAGGGUUUUCUUUUGGGGAAAGGAUGAGAACACAAGCUCUCUUUUCUCUCUAAACAGGCCGGCCACCCUAGGGGAAAAUAGCUAGCAAUCUUACUUCCUCUAGGUCACUCAUUUCUUCUUAAAAUCUUACCUUGGUGUGGAGACUUAGAGGUUCUCAAUUUUGAGAACUUGGAGAAACCAAUUCUUCCAUCCAAAUCCAUGGAGCUAGGAAGCAAGGAAUGAAGGCCCUAUCUCUUGGGUGAUUAUCCUUUGCUUAUGCAAAGAGGAAUCAACAAAGGUAUAAUUUCUCAACUCACUUUGUUUUGAGUUGAGUCUUGGUUCACCUAACUACUAGGCUUUGAAUUUAAUGGGUAAUGUUUUGUUUUGAGUGCAUGCAAGCAUGAUUCCGCCUUUAAUUUGUUAAUUGCAUGCUAUAGAUGUUGCUCAAAUGAACAUGUUUUUUACAAAAUUUCCUUCAAGUUGGUGGCACGAAAGAGAGUACGGGUUGUACAUUUCAUCACCUGGUUGGUGGCAUGAAGAUGAGUUCCUUCUUCACCUGGUUGGUGGCGUGAGUGGAAAGUUGCCAAAUGAUAUUAGAGUAUGGGUUGUACAUUUCAUCAACUGGUUGGUGGCAUGAAUGGCAAGUUGCCAAAUGAUAUUAG